AGAGAUAGCGUUUGUUGGCCUUCGGGUACGUACUGAGGACAGGUGCUGCAUGGCUGUCGUCAGCUCGUGUUGUGAAAUGUUGGGUUAAGUCCCGCAACGAGCGCAACCCUUAUCCUUUGUUGCCAGCGAUUCGGUCGGGAACUCAAAGGAGACUGCCAGUGAUAAACUGGAGGAAGGUGGGGAUGACGUCAAGUCAUCAUGGCCCUUACGAGUAGGGCUACACACGUGCUACAAUGGCGCAUACAAAGAGAAGCGACCUCGCGAGAGCAAGCGGACCUCAUAAAGUGCGUCGUAGUCCGGAUUGGAGUCUGCAACUCGACUCCAUGAAGUCGGAAUCGCUAGUAAUCGUAGAUCAGAAUGCUACGGUGAAUACGUUCCCGGGCCUUGUACACACCGCCCGUCACACCAUGGGAGUGGGUUGCAAAAGAAGUAGGUAGCUUAACUUUCGGGAGGGCGCUUACCACUUUGUGAUUCAUGACUGGGGUGAAGUCGUAACAAGGUAAGCGUAGUGCU
rnacentral:rRNA from 1 species